AGGGGGAGCAAGAUGAAGUCACAGACCGGAGUCCUCAUAUCCCUGCUGCUUUGGGUGUCUGGUGCCUGUGCAGACAUUGUGAUGACUCAGUCUCCAUCCUCCCUGGCUGUGUCAGAGGGAGAGAAGGUCUCCAUCAGCUGCAGGUCCAGUCAGAGUCUUUAUUACAGUGGCAACCAAAAGCACAUAUUGUCCUGGUACCAGCAGAAAUCAGGGAAAUCACCUAAGCGGCUGAUCUACUGGGCAUCCACUCGGGACACUGGUGUCCCUGAUCGCUUCACAGGCAGUGGAUCUGGGACAGACUACACUCUCAGCAUCAGCAGUGUGCAGGCUGAAGACCUGGCAGUUUAUUACUGUAUGCAGGGUGUUAGUGCACCUCCCACAGUUUGA